ACACACACACACACACACACACACAUGUAGUGUUUCCAUGUUUUAUGGGGACUUUCCAUAGACAUAAUGGUUUUUAUACUGUACAAACUUUAUAUUCUAUCCCCUAAACCUAACCCUACCCCUAAACCUAACCCUCACAGAAAACUUUCUGCAUUUUUACAUUUUCAAAAAACAUAAUUUAGUAUGAUUUAUAAGCUGUUUUCCUCAUGGGGACCGACAAAAUGUCCCCACAAGGUCAAAAAUUUCGGGUUUUACUAUCCUUAUGGGGACAUUUGGUCCCCACAAAGUGAUAAAUACACGCUCACACACACACACACACACACACACACACACACACACACACACACACACACACACACACACACACUCACACACA